CGUAACACCGGUGGCCCGAGUGGUAAUCACUAUUAUUGGGUCUAAAGGGUCCGUAGCCGGUUUAAUCAGUUCUUCCGUGGAAAUCUGACAGCUCAACUGUUAGGCUUCCGGGGGAUACUGUUAGACUUGGGACCGGGAGAGGUAAGAGGUACUACAGGGGUAGGAGUGAAAUCUUGUAAUCCYUGUGGGACCACCAGUGGCGAAGGCGUCUUACCAGAACGGGUCCGACGGUGAGGGACGAAAGCUGGGGGCACGAACCGGAUUAGAUACCCGGGUAGUCCCAGCCGUAAACGAUGCUCGCUAGGUGUCUGGAACGGUGCGACCGUUUCAGGUGCCGCAGGGAAGCCGUGAAGCGAGCCACCUGGGAAGUACGGCCGCAAGGCUGAAACUUAAAGGAAUUGGGGGGGGGAAACCAC
rnacentral:rRNA from 1 species